rnacentral:lncRNA from 1 species
GACAAACCCUUAUAACUCUAGAGGAAAGAGGAUGCGUUAAAUAAACUCAAUGAAGGGGAUGCCCGAAAACAACUCAAGGAAGGAGGAUGCCUUGAAGAUACUCAAGGAAUAGUGCAUACGCUUAAACAAACUCAUAGGAUGGAAUGCUCAUUAUGAGAAACAAAAGGAAAAUACGAAUAACCAUAGAUAACUCAAAAUGAUGGGAAACCAAAGAAAUGAACAAUGA